AAAAAAUUCCCUCAGACACAUAACUUUGAUUCAGUCACAAGACAUCAGUAUUAGCAUGGUUAUUACCAUCAUAGGGAAUCCUUACAUUCAAAGAGAUCAUAUGGCAAAACAAAAACCUAAACUCCUAAAAAAUACAAGAGUUCCCUCAGCAAAUCACUUAUAAAUCAAAUAAAAAUUAUCAAUAUACAUUAGCAUGGUAUUGAUUUUAAAUCAUCACAGGGAACAAAAUAUAAAAUCUUCCUACUAAUAAAAUCAAAAUAA
rnacentral:sRNA from 1 species